CUCGCCAACAAAAAAACAAAAAAAAAAUGCAUUCUAUUUGAACAAACACAGACUGGAGGAGGGGACGCUGGUGGUAGGGGGUACCGCCAUAAGAGAUUUUUCAUUUGAAAUUCUAAAAACAACUUUCGCGGAACUUGAGCCGUGCUUUUGCCUCAAUCGAAAAUAACCCCUGGCUCCCUUCACUCGUUCUGACCACAAAUACUAUAUCAACUAAACAAAUACGAUAUCAUAUUUACAAAUAAAUUCGAACAGGUUGCUCAUGCCCAUAUGACAUUUGCUUAAUAUAUAAAAAAUAGUGUUGAAUUUCUACUGCUUCUACUGCUUGCCAAAGUUAUAUAUCGCCUGUCAGAAUGAUCGACUGCUUGUCAUUUUCUUUCAUAAAUUCUUCAAAUAUGAUGUUAAAUUCUUCACUUCAUUCCACUAAAGAGAGCCACUGCAACCUCUCGCACCCUGAAUACACUCCGUAGAAUAAAAAGUGAGUGUCAUAUGGCAUUAAUAGAAAUACUGUGUUGCUUUGCACGUAGAGUAGUACGGUUCUGUUCUGUUCAUUUCGAUCUGUCAUUUACAAUGGCUCAAUCAAGCAUUGUCUGGUCUCGCAAGGCAAUCGCAACUAGAGAUGCAACCCUGCAAGUACCCUGCGAAAGAGCUCUUCCAUAGAAAAUAAAGUUUCAACUAAGAUGGAUCUUGUGGAAGUAGAAGCCUCAAAUAAUUCAAGAUGGCAAUGUUCUUUCCAUUGCAAAAAAAAAUCCAAACAAGAUCUGAAAACUAUGAGAUCGAACAAGUAAGAGAUGUAUCGUUUUAAGAAUGGAAAAUAAUGUAUUUCCUGCUUGAGCGGCAGAAAUUUUCAGCUGGACGAAACUGCUGCCAAAGCGCGAAUGCCCCAUCCCGUGCAGGGCAUGCCUGGCAGUGCAUUGGCAGCGUAAUACAAUAUAAAUUACAAAAUAGAGACUGAUUGUUAUUGCCUUUGAUGAUGCAUAAUUCUUGUUUCUUGCCAGAAAAAACAGAUAUAUAAACAUACCUUAAUAAUAGUGCAGUGGCAAUCCCAAGUGAAUAAAUACAUUCAAAAAAAUAUAUAUGUAUACCCCCACCCCCAGCCAAAUAACAUAAUUAUUUUUUGGUUUUCUUGGGUUUUUCCUUAGGUUUUUGGUUCAAUCGUUUUUAUUUUCUUGCUCUUCGAAAUCCUUCUCUGCUUUUUUGACAAACAUUCCUUUUGUUAAUAAUAUCAUUUCCUAUGUUGUUCCUUUCUUCCGGCUUCCGUUUUCCGUUUCAUUGCAGCAUGUUGCAAAGCGUGUCUGUUAUGUAUUUGCGUAGUAUUUUUUGUGUAAUCGCCUUUGAUAACUAGAAUUUAUUAUAAUAUAAAUUGAUUUUCAUUGUUUCUUGUUAACAGGGGCUAAUUUUUUUUUUAUACAAUCUCUUGUUGAAAAAUAUAAACAAUUUUUUAGCUGACUUUCUUUUUAUAUCAUUUCAUCAACGUUUUUUCAUAGUAUUUUUCAUUGUUUAUUCAAAAUAGACAAACAAAAAUUGUGUCUUUUUUUCUUUUAUUUGAAUGCGAAUUUUUUGUGUUGUUUUUGUCUGAGCGUGCUGGCCGGCAGCCGCCAAAACUGCUAGUUUCAAAAAAAAAAACUACGAAAACUA
rnacentral:sRNA from 1 species